UUAUUGCAGCAGAGUAGAUGGAGGUGCACUAGCUGGCAUGAACUUUUCAAAGAAUUCAAUACUUUACACUGCAACUCCAUCUGCAGGGAAAGCCAAGGUGAAACAAACAAUGUUGUUUACAAAUCUCUGGAGCAGUCCUUAUGUGAGAAGUGGAGCUCAAGUUAGAAAUUCUUGCAUGGAUAGAACCUAAAAGCAGAUUUCAAGAUUCAAGGGAAAUAGUAGUGGGGUCGUACUCAAGGUUGAUUGCAGAUUAAUGAAUGGAAUGAUAGAAUAAAAAGGAGAGAGAGAAAAAAAAAGAAAGGAACUGCAGCAAUUCAGUUUUGGAAGAUGCAUCAAGUAAAAAUUGCUUGGAGCACUCAAAGGGCAAGGUUACUUGGGAUACUUGUAAAAGGAAGGCAGCGUUUUGGCGUAGUGCAGAUUUUUAGUUUUUCGAGAAGUAAAGUUGAAUAUUAUUAUUUUCUUCUUGUCUUUUCUAAGUUUGUUUUAUUUUUGGAAAUGGAAACUUUAAAUGUGGGGAUUUUAUAGCCACUAACUUACCACUUGUGAAAAUCUAACAAAAAAGAGUAUUAUACCAAUUCACUUUCGUAAAA